rnacentral:rRNA from 1 species
UGCCAGCCGCCGCGGUAAGACGAAGGUGGCAAGCGUUGUUCGGAAUCACUGGGCAUAAAGCGCGCGUAGGCGGUCGGCUAAGUUGGAUGUGAAAUCCCUCGGCCUAACCGAGGAACUGCGUCCAAUACUGGCGGACUUGAGGGUUGGAGAGGUGUAUGGAAUUCCUGGUGGAGCGGUGAAAUGCGUUGAUAUCAGGAGGAACACCGGAGGCGAAGGCGAUACACUGGCCAACUUCUGACGCUGAGGUGCGAAAGCUAGGGGAGCGAACGGGAUUAGAUA